CCCUUAGAUGUUCUGGGCUGCACGCGUGCUACAAUGAAGCGUCCAACAAGAUGCGAAGCCGAAAGGCUCAGCGGAACUUUGAAGUCGUUUCGUGACCGGGACAGUUGAUUGCAAUUAUUCGACUCGAACGAGGAAUUCCUUGUAAUCGCGAUUCAUCAUAUCGCGCUGAAUACGUCCCUGCCCUUUGUACACACCGCCCGUCGCUCCUACCGAUUGAGCGAUCCGGUGAAUUAUUUGGAGUGUCCACGCAAGCCAAUCCGUUUACGUGGGUGCGAAAUUUUGUAAACCUUAUCGCUUAGAGGAAGGAAAAGUCGUAACA
rnacentral:rRNA from 1 species